rnacentral:tRNA from 1 species
GGAGAGGUGUCGGAGUGGUCUAACGUGAGGUCCUGGAAAGACCUUCUGCGUCAAAAGCGCAGCGAGAGUUCGAAUCUCUCCCUCUCCG